CCUUUGACGUUAGCGGCGGACGGGUGAGUAACACGUGGGUAACCUACCUAUAAGACUGGGAUAACUUCGGGAAACCGGAGCUAAUACCGGAUAAUAUUUCAACCGCAUGGUUCGAUAGUGAAAGAUGGUUUUGCUAUCACUUAUAGAUGGACCCGCGCCGUAUUAGCUAGUUGGUAAGGUAACGGCUUACCAAGGCUACGAUACGUAGCCGACCUGAGAGGGUGAUCGGCCACACUGGAACUGAGACACGGUCCAGACUCCUACGGGAGGCAGCAGCC
rnacentral:rRNA from 1 species